rnacentral:misc_RNA from 1 species
GGAAAAGUGGGAGUACUGGAAUUAGGGUUUGGUGGUAGAGAUUUACUAUGCCCGCUGGGAUGAUCAUGAUUCCUGUACUUCCGAUGAUGGGGAUGAACAAUAACGGGCUCAAUUAUCAGCCAAACAUGAUGGACGGGCAACAAAUAGCACUCCAGAAUCAGCACCAGCUCGUUGAGAUGAAUCCAACAUCUGCUGAAAGUGAGCUUGCAAGAUCAAGGGAAGAUGAAUUCGAGAGCAAGUCUGGC